GCUAGAUGUGGUGGCGCAUGCCUGUAAUCCCAGCUACUCGGGAGGCUGAGGCAGGAGAAUCGCUUGAACUCAGGAGGCAGAGUUGCAGUGAGUCAAGAUCGCACCACUGCACUCCAGCCUGGGUGACAGAGCGAGACUCUGCCUCAA
rnacentral:SRP_RNA from 2 species